UAGGGAAUCUUCCGCAAUGGGCGAAAGCCUGACGGAGCAACGCCGCGUGAGUGAUGAAGGUCUUCGGAUCGUAAAACUCUGUUAUUAGGGAAGAACAAAUGUGUAAGUAACUAUGCACGUCUUGACGGUACCUAAUCAGAAAGCCACGGCUAACUACGUGCCAGCAGCCGCGGUAAUACGUAGGUGGCAAGCGUUAUCCGGAAUUAUUGGGCGUAAAGCGCGCGUAGGCGGUUUUUUAAGUCUGAUGUGAAAGCCCACGGCUCAACCGUGGAGGGUCAUUGGAAACUGGAAAACUUGAGUGCAGAAGAGGAAAGUGGAAUUCCAUGUGUAGCGGUGAAAUGCGCAGAGAUAUGGAGGAAAACCAGUGGCGAAGGCGACUUUCUGGUCUGUAACUGACGCUGAUGUGCGAAAGGGUGGGGAUCAAACAGG
rnacentral:rRNA from 1 species